UUGGUCCCGACUAUCAUAAUCCUCGGGGAAAGCUUGCGGUGAUGGCCAGCGAGAGGGUAGAGGAGGGAAGGCCCAUGCGAUGCUUAUCCCGUGACACGAAUGCGAAGGGCGGGCCACAUCCAGUUCGAACUGCGGGAACUCGAGUGGGAAGGCAGCAUCAGAGAAAGCCAUGAAGUGGAUGGAAGCAUCGUUGGAUUGGUACUCUGUUCUCCUCAAAUGGUUUCUUUCGCCCAAACGAAAAAGGUAUAUUACUAAACACCAUAAUUCUUGUGAGGGAAUGGGUCGGCCUACAACCGGGUCUGGUCCUGGGCCAGAACCGGUUCAGCCCAGACCACUUGUCAUUCAUUUCUUUUCUAGUACUAUAUCCUGCGAGACUUGAGGUACAAGUUGGAUUGUCUCUCGGAUCUCAAGAAACCAAAAUUAAUUGAGGAGGAAGACGCUCUCUGAAAAUGCACAACACUCGACUUUGCCUUUAGCAAGCUGCAAAUGCAACACCUUGUGCUACAUCUGCUGAUGUAGUCGCAUUCAUGGAGAGCUGAUGGACAAAUCACAUUGAUUUAAUAUAAAUAAAGAACAUGAUUCUUCUUCUAAAUUUAUGGAACUUACUCUUAUCAAAAGACACCACGAGCCUCAAUCCAAUAUAAAUAUUAUACCACUUCUGAUGGGGAGGGGAGGAGCGGCGUGCCGGUUCACUACUUCAUGUAGUCGAUCCGGACGCCGUCUACGGUGGUGUUGACCCCCGUGCCGCCUCUUGGCACCAGUGUCACCCAGAUGCUGUCAUCUUCGUCUGCCUCGAGGUCUUCCAAAAGUUCCGAUAUACCGAGCUUAAGGUGGCUUUUCAUCUUCGAACCCACGCCGCCAUCCUCAUGGCUUUUCGUCCUCGAGACGUGGUGGAGAUUUACGAAGGUCCCUGCGAACUCCCUCGACUUUGGGCUCAGCACGGUUUCGUCGACGACGUUGAUGAACACAUCGAAUUUGACAAAUCUGCUUCUCUUAGUAUCGAUUCCGUAGACCAAUAAGAUCUCCUCUUCUUCC